GUUAGAGGUUGCUUAAGGAUACAAACAUAUUGCAGUUGCAGUUUUACAGCUCCUUUUUUCAGAAACUAUAAAACCUCUUCAGGUUUGAGAUGUGGGAGGAGAUCUUCUGGUUCAGCUGUUCAUUCUCUCUCAGACAAGCUGCAAUGUUCCAGACUUCAUCUUCUCCUCCUCGAGUCGCCGGCAAACC